rnacentral:lncRNA from 1 species
UGCCUGUAAUGUCUUCUUGAGACCUUGCACAAACAAUUCGUGCUGACUAAUGCCCUGUCCCAUAAUCGCUGCUCAACUUACCGAGGUGCAAAAAGACGGCAGGUCCACGUCAAUUGCAAGCCUCUCCCGUGUCGAGUGUGCUCUUUGUUCCUCAAUCUUAAUCUUAGGGCCCCUGAGCAGCGUCCUUCACUGGAUCCCCCGUUCUCUGGCCGCACGUUGGGCGCCACUUGUCCCGGCCCGCGGUUUUGUGAGGAUGGAUGUAGACCACACACAUCAUCUGUUAUGCACAGAAAUGACAUCUCACCUUUCUAAAGGUAAAUCACUGGCCUGUGUUUCUGAGCUAUGAGAGCUGGUCCAGAAAUUUCUUUUAGAAAAGCAGUCAUCAUUGGCAGCACAUUUACAACAGAAUGGGUUGUAAAACUUGCUUACUUGUGUGACAGUUUUAACCUGCUCAACAAACUCAAUCUGUCACUUCAGGGGAGAAUGACAACUGUGUUUAAGUCAGCAGAUAAAAUGGCUGCAUUCAAAG